rnacentral:lncRNA from 1 species
UUCUCCCUCGCCCCCUCGUGUAGCUCUCACUGCCGCACCACCCGAAAGUUGUCGUCGCCGCGCCAUUGUCGUCGUCGCGGCCAUCGGUCUCCUUGGCGACUGGGAGGACAUCCAGAAGCUCCGACGACGUCGACUACGCCACCUGCAACACCAGGGCGGAGCCGGGGACCACUGCUGACGUUGCCUCGACCGAUCCCCUCCGCCGGCGUCCGCCUCUGCCUCGCUGUCGAUCCGCCGCCUCCAGCCCCCCCGACGCGUCUGAGCACGCCACCAGCUCCGGGGUGAGCUCGUGCAUCUCCUCCCCCUCUUCGUUCACUCGCACACACGCAACCUAGGCCUAGGUCCGUCGAGCCCCGCCGUAGCCGCCGUCAGUCGUCGCCGCACCCGUCGAUCCGGUCCACCUCCGGCCUUCCCAACCUCGCCAUCAAACUCGCGAUGACCAUCUCGUUCGGUUCCCCCUCCUCCCGACCUCGAUCCAUCGCCGUACAGCCCGGCAUCGCGCAUCGGACGCCAUGGCCAAAGCUCGCGUCGCCCGCACGAUCUGCCUCGCCUUGGGCCGCGUUUGGCCGUGCCUGCCCGCCCCGUGCUGCUCCCCGCCACGCCCGGCCCUGGUCGCCGCUCGCCCUGGCCGCGUCCAAGGCGCGCACCCGCAACCACCGUGGUCCCUGCUCCGCCUAAUGCCAUUGAUGUUGCGCUGCAGCUCCUGCUGUUGCUGUUGUGCCGCUGCAGUUGCUCUGCUUACUGCUGGUGCUCUAUGCUCCGCUGCCUUGGCCGCCUGUGCUCUCCUGCUGCUGCUCUACGCUGCUACCGCUCUCUACGCUGCUACUGCUGCUGUUUGCUGAUGCUUGCUAGCUAGGUGUUGUUGCUUUCGUUCAUGGCCAAUGUGUGUGUGCGCGCCUUGUGUGUGUGGUGUGUUCGUGUGUGUAGCCGCCUAGGCCACUACUACCUGGGUCGGCCCCUGUUGAGAUUAGGAAACUAAUCCCCAUUAGUGCUAAUCCCGCUAAGAUAACUAAAUUGAUUCAUUUGGUCUAGAUGUAGCCUAUGUCAUGUGGGCCUAUCUUGUUUUUUAAAAAAAAGCCUAAUUUAAAGUCUGUUUCAAUGUCAAGUAGGCCCCACUUAUACUAUUCAUUGGUUGACCGGUCAAUUGUUGACUGAGUCAACCCAGCCCCUGGCCCCAUCGGUCAUACAUAGUGGGUAGGUGUUGUUGUAUACAAAAGGUAUUCACUGUUUUUAUUUUCGAAUUAGAAAGAAUUAAAUUCAAGAAAUCAUUUAAUCUUUGAAAAUUAAUAGAAAAUAAACCGUAAGUCAGAUGAAAAAGUUUUAUAUAUGAAAGUUGCUCAGAAAAAUCCAACAAUCCGAAUACGCGAUCCGUUCACCUGUCGCAUGCCCCUAGCAUGCUGAACACGGAACCGUCCCCUCUCUUUUCAUCUAUCCGGAAAACGUCAGACGCCAAAAAAACCUCCGGAUGUUUUUCCUCUUCGUCUGCAACGUCUAGCACCGCGUUAGUUCACCCCUAACACCGCGUAUUACCAUGUUAUGAUUUAUGAUGCUGUGUUUGCUUUAUAUUUAUUAUUUCUUCCCCCUCUUCUCUCCGGUAGACCCCGAGAUCGAUGUUGCCACUGUGAUCGACUACGUCGACGAUGACCCUUCUUCCCUUUCAGCGGAGCUUCCAGGCAAGCCCCCCAUUUGAUCAUCCCGAUAUCGCCCAUUCCAUUCACUCAUACUUGCAUUAGAUUUUGCUACCGUAAUUGAUUGCUCCUAUUCUGAUGCAUAGCCUACUUUUGUAACCUGCUUAUUGUUACCUACCUUCUUAUCCUAAACUGCUUAGUAUAGGUUGGUUAGUGAUCCAUCAAUGACCCCCACCUGAUCAUUGUUGCCCCCGCUUCAUCAUCGAAGACCCGUUCAACGGGAUCGAAGACCAGAGCCCGACACCUCACAUCACUUCAUGCCCCUUUUGUUGCUCGAUUCUGCAGAGUUACCAUCGAGUGCCGAGGGUGGAACCUCAUACAUCACUCCUGAUGAGAUCUCUGUAGUGUAGCUAUCCGGUCGUGGUCAUCGAGGGUGAUUUCCUCCUUAACCACUUCUGAUACGGCUCUCUUGUGCAACCCCUCAAGUGUGAACCUCGAGGGUGGAUCCUCUUACGUUCACCUUGAUGAUUACAUUGAGUGGAAUUCACCGAGGGUGAUUCCUCGGUUUUUCCCCUUGGUGUUAGACACACGGUUACUAUGGUUACUAUGACUUUACGCUGAACCAUGUUACUAAAGAUGGGUCGGCCCUGAGGGGUACCCGCGCGAGCUUAAUUCCGAGUGAUGUGGAGUCGGGUUGACCUGAAAGGUGCCCGCGAGAUUCUUACGAGGCGUGGCCGGGCAUUCUUAGCCCUUUCCGCAAGUCCUCGAGAUGGGGCGACGGGGUCACAUCUUUCGUGAGUCUCUGCUUGUUACCGCGCGUUCCUAAUCCACUAGGAUUUGGAUUUUUUAUCCGAGUGUCCUCUGGCCUGAUAGCACUAACCAUCACGUGGGCAUUGUAUGGGCGUUCUGUGUCGUAUGCAUCAGCCGAAGCUUAAUAGACGUCAGUGACUGAGCGGCGCGUGCCGGGUUGGACUGGUAAGCUCCUGCCUUUUUAAGGAGGUAGCUAGGUCUGCUCACCGGCCGCCCACGCAGCGUGCAGGAGUCCCCGGGGCGAUGGCCCAUGACCCCUGGGGGCAUAGGUUUAGUCUGGCAUGCAGACCUCUCUAUUAAGCCUAGGUCGGGUUGCGGCGUAUUGUUUGGCCGAGGCCGGGCAUGACCCAGGAAAGUGUGUCCGGCCAGAGUUAAUCGAGCAUGGUGGGUAAGUUGGUGCACCCCUGCAGGGAAGAAGACAUCUAUAGAUAGCAUGUCCUACGGUAACGAACACUUGGAGUUGUAUCCCGAUCGAUACAACUAGAAUUGGAUACUUGAGAUGAGAAAUGGUUAUGAGAAAUGGAUAGUAUGGCACUGGGAUUGCUUUCUCGCAGGGAGUCGAGAAAGGAUCUCUGGCCGAGGAUGAUAACACUACUACUACUUUACAUUAUGUUGAUCUGUACUCUUCUAUAUGCUGCAAGAUGCUUAAAGAUGCUAGUCUUCAAUAAGCUAGGCUUUUCCCUUCUCUUCUGGCAUUCUGCAGUUUAGUUUGCAGAUACAGCCAAUUUCCUUUGAUACAGAUGCAUACUUAGUUUAGGUCUGAUGUAAGUCUUGCGAGUACUUUGGAUGAGUACUCACGGUUGCUUUGCUACCUCUUUUCCCCCUAUACCCGGUUGUUGCGACCAGAUGACGGAUCCUAGGAGCCAUACGACACCAUUGAUGACUACUACUACCUCGAGGGUGCCUACUACUACGUGAUGGCCGCUGAGGACCUGGAGUAGUUAGGAGGCUCCCAGGCAGGAGGCCUUGCCUUUUCAUUCGUUGUUGCUUUUGUGUUAGCCUUCUUAAGGCAGACUUGUUUAACUUAUGUCUGUACUCAGAUAUUGUUACUUCCGCUGACUCUUGUGUAUUCGAGCUUAUGUAUUCGAGCCCUCGAGGCCCCUGGCUUGUAAUAUAAAGCUUGUAUUAUUUUAAUUUGUG